rnacentral:rRNA from 1 species
ACCCGCUGAACUUAAGCAUAUCAAUAAGCGGAGGAAAAGAAACCAACAGGGAUUGCCUUAGUAACGGCGAGUGAAGCGGCAAAAGCUCAAAUUUGAAAUCGGCCCCCAGGUCGAGUUGUAAUUUGUAGAUUGUAUCUUGAGAGCGGAUUAAAGUCUGUUGGAACACAGCGCCUUAGAGGGUGACAGCCCCGUAAAAUCUAUUCUCAUUGUAAGAUACUUUCGAAGAGUCGAGUUGUUUGGGAAUGCAGCUCUAAGUGGGAGGUAAAUUCCUUCUAAAGCUAAAUAUUGACGAGAGACCGAUAGCGAACAAGUACUGUGAAGGAAAGAUGAAAAGCACUUUGAAAAGAGAGUGAAAAAGUACGUGAAAUUGUUAAAAGGGAAGGGUAUUGAAUCAGACUUGGUGCUGUUGUUCAGCUAUGUUUCGGCAUAGUGUACUCAGCAGUACUAGGCCAAGGUGGGGUGUUUGGGAGUGAAAAAGAAGUAGGAACGUAACUCUUCGGAGUGUUAUAGCCUACUUUCAUAGCUCCUCAGGCGCCUCAGGACUGCGCUUCGGCAAGGACCUUGGCAUAAUGAUUCUAUACCGCCCGUCUUGAAACACGGACCAAGGAG